ensembl:lncRNA
AAUUAUGCAAUAUACAAAUCAUUAGCAUGUCAAUAUCCAAGCUGAUACCAAAUACAUCAGAUCAAAAGAUCUCCAGUUUUCAAAUUGAUUAGGUUUUAUCGCCACUAGGUCAGAAUUGUGAUCAAGCUUAUAGAGUUCCUUCUUUUUUUCGACAGAUUGUUCUACAGUACACAGACCAGAUGCCCCUCUUCCAUUUCUUGCACUAAACCCCAGAAGACACCGAGAGCAUUCGAUCUGUUCAUCCUGCCUCCACUCAGGAAGAAUAUUCACAUCGCUCCUCAUUUACAUCGAACCACUGGUAGAGUGAGCCAGCAGAGUGAGUCAAAGGAGCCACACCUGGAGCCAGAUCUUCAUAGAGGAACUGAAGCAAUCUUCAUCACCUCCAGCUACAUCCACAACAGCUACAGCUUCUUUGUCCAAAAAGCCUUGGAGAUCUGACCUCUGAUGACAUAUGGUGCAACUUUGAUAGUAAGUACCACAGCAUCAUCUGCAGUUUCACUGUUAGGCAAACCAAAGACCAAUUCCCAAAUGGCAGCCCACAGAACUCAGCCAGUCACUUUACAGAACACUUACGGAAGCUGACUGAUGUGGAGCCCCUGACUGCUGGAGAUUUCGCUUCACGGGUCUAAAGAAUUCCCAGAAGAGCAAGGUGAUAAGACCCUGGUUCAAGGGACUGCCUCCAGGAGCCAAAGCAGAGUGUGGUACAUUACAAACCGGGCCAGGGAGGCCCAGGAAAGACUGAAGCUUCAAAGUGUUCCAGUACAGAGGUGCAAGCUUUAGGCUUGCUCUUAGCACUGGUAGUAGCCCCAUUGAGGAGCUUGGAAUCCCCGAAGGUGCUUGUUUCAUGUCCCAGAGUCCUUGCAGAUGCCCUGCACAUGCCUCCCCUAUACAAUCCCAAACCUCCACCGACCCUGAAAACAUUACAGUUUCUUUUUUGCUCAAUCUCUAAGAACUGGCUGACUUUAAACUGAUUGUAAGAGAGAAAGCCUGAAACUAGUAUGGAAUAAAUUUGCUCCAGCAGAAAACUUUUUAUUUUAUUUAUAUUAUUAAUAUUUUCUUUCUUGUAGAAAAAGCUGCAAAUCUUGCAAAAUACUGGUCUAAAGAAAGGUGUUUUACCACUUAUUAGUAAUCCAUGAACAAUCUGUUUGACAUUUAAAUGUUGUAUAUUUUGAACCAAUGAUGUACAUUUUUUGUGCAAUCAGGAAACGUCUUGAAAAUGUUCAACAAAUACUGAAAUCUGUUUGCACAAAAUGUUAGAUAUUUUCCAGAAUGUGUUUAGUUACAAAUACCAGGAAUUUUUUUUUUUUAUGUUGGUUUCGUUGGCUAUCAUUUGCUCUCAUGUUCAAGGGUUUUAUUCGUUGUUUCUUUUUUUUUUUCUUUUUUUUUUACAAAUACAGUAGCAAUACACGUUUACAUGUUUUUCAAAGACGUGUUGUUUUUAUUUACUUGAAGUGGAAUAACUUACUUUGGCUGUGGUAAAAGUUAGAUACUAUAUGCAUUUUUAUAAGACCGUUAAUCCACUAGCAAUAUUUUUUAAAUUGAUGGCAUGGUAUCAUUGUGGAAGAUGUGUAGUUCAAUGCUAAAAGCCAAGGUUCAUCUCAUGUUUUUGCUGAAGAAAGGAACGAUUCUUAAAGUUCUUCAUUUCUCUUUGUGUAGUAGUUACAGUGUAAUUUGACCAGGUUUUGCUAACAUUCUCAUCUGUGGCAUGCUGCAGCAUUUAGAUGCUGUGUUUUGAAGCAGUGCUGUACUACCAAGUUUUAGCCCUUUUAUGCUGACUGCAUGUCUUUUAUGUACUGUAACCUUUAUCCGAAUCUUGUGCUUUUUUUUGCAAAUAUAUUUUAUAUGAAAAUUAAUAUUCUAAACACUGUUUUUAUCGUCUAAUGAUGAUCAAAAUGGCAUCAUGUUUGAAACCCUGCGUUUCCAGUAGUUUGUGAUACUAAAAUAAGAUGAAAAUUAUGCAUUUCAAAGCACGUUUAUUCAUCAGCAUCCUGUAUUGUUUGUUUGAUUUAGACAUUGUGAAUUAAUGAUCUGAAUAAAUCUUAAGUUAAUAA